GAUCCUUGUAAUUUACAAUUUUAUUAACAUUUCCACGAUUAUAUAAUUAAGAUGAACUGCAUCUUGCUCGUUUUUUUCCUUUGUAACAGGAAUCCAAAAUCUAGUGAUUGAAGCAGGUCUUACUUUUCUUGUGCAUGAGCGGGGGGGUUGUCCAGAGGGUUGUGGUAGCUCCCCUCUGCUCCUGGCAUCCACAUUCCUUUCUUUCCAUUCAGUCCCAUAGCAUGUGCUUCUGAUUGCCUUGUCACUACUGGCUGGGUGGCUUCAAGCAUGAUGGUCUCAUUCCAGACAAGAUGAAGUAGAGAGAACAAGACGUGGGCAGAGUGGAGAGAGGCACACUGGUCUUUAUCCAUUGUCAAAACCAAGGAGACAAACACACUGAGUAUGCAUCAUGCGUUUGAAAAGCGCAUAUGCAUGGACUUGGACAGCUACUACCAAGCUCUCCAACUGCUCUAGCCAAGGCUCAGUGAUUAGCAGCUGAAAAGCAAGUAUGAAACCCAGUGAGUAGCAGCAUACAAAGAAUCAGCUUCAAAGACUAAACACCUAACCAAGAUAUGUCUGGUAUGUCCAGGCCAGAGCUGUUGGGAAGGUACAGGACCUAGAUAGGCUCAUCUACAUGUGAUGCCUCUGGAAAACUUCAAUUCCUACCCUAGUGCUCAAAAUAGGUACCAGACCAAAGAAAUCUACUUCACAGAGAUGGAGACAUCCCUGGGUCCAUCAGCAUAAUCUGACAGGUCUGAUCUAGCUAUUGCUGCCACCUAGUGGCCGUCUUCCUUUAAUGGCGGCCGAAAUCUAAAUGCUAAGCAUGGUAAGUUCCUUGAGGCCAGGAAACCACAGAGAAGCUGGCGAUCAACUUACAUUUGAGAAGGUUCAGGAAUGUGUUCUAAAGGAACUUGACUUGAAUUUCAUGUGUGUUUGAUUCUUCCUGCCUGCCUCACGAGGACCACCAUUUGUGAACUAGGAAUGUGGUCUGCUUGUCAAAUGGGCCACUUCAAAGGGAAGAGUGUGGGAAAUUGGAACUAUGACCACAGGCCUCUUGUAUCAUGUACCACACCUAAGCUUCUGGCAUUAAAGGUCUUUGCAAUGGUUUAACGAAGGUACAUGUGAAGACUUAGCACACAAGUAACACUCAAAAGUAGCAUAUACACACUGAAGAUGAAAGAUUAUGUGGUUCUUCUGCAAGGGGCAGAGUCACUCAGGGCCCUUUUGGGCCCUGCAAAAUUAGAGGCCCAGAUUUCCAAAGACCGAAGUAUUUCUGCAAAGGUAAGUGUCUAUUUGAAUUAUAAGAUUUGCCACAAUGGCUCUGUAUAUCUAGAAGCAGGAAGAGCCAUCGGUUUAGUCAAUGGAACUGACUGUCAUAAUUCAGUGAAAGAUUGGAACUUGGUUCUUAAAAUAACAGGUUGGAAUAUGAUGGUAUGUCAAAGAUCCACUUGUGGUUCUGGCCCACUUUCUAUGGCAACUAGACAGCAGACUCGUUUUCUAAAAGGGGUACAGUAACCAGAUACCAGUCCUUUCAGAUUUUUUUGGUUUUUUGGGAGGUUUGGGUUUCACUCAGUGCAGUGUCACUGAAACUCACAUUAAGAGCUAAGGGGAGGGCUGGUGAGAUGUUUCUCAUUUUCUUAGUGGACAGCUUUAUCACUUUUCUUUUUUCUAUUUAGGGAUUAAUUUGAUCAUUUCCUAGUUUCAAGUAGCAUUGAUUACAUGUUCUCCUCCUUAGUGUAAAAGUUGUUCUCUAUCCUUUGGGGCACAUUCUUUUCUGGAAGCUUUGAAACUUUUUACAUUGUUUUACUUCAAAAUUGUUUUCUGGACAAAUCUCAUUUCUUCUUUGAUUCAUGUGUUACUUAGAAGUAUGCUGUUUAACUUCAGCAUAUUGGUGAGGCUAUUCCAGGUAUCUUUCUACAUUCCUCUCUAAGGUUUCUUACAAAUUUAUUCUCACUUCCUGUCAUCCAACAUAUGGUCUACCUUGAAUACGCCAUAUUCAUUGUCUAGAGUGAUCUAGAAAUGCCAACUACAUCAAGUUGGUUGAAUGUUGCUUAUAAUAAGUAUGUAUUUAGUGAUGAGUGUGUGUGUGUGUGAAGAUGGUGUUGACACAUUCAACCUUUUAGAUUUCUGGAAGAUGUUUUUAUUCUUUUUAAAUAAGUUCUGAUGUGUAUGCAUGUUUGCUCACAUGUAUACUACAUACAUGUACACUACAUGUAUGUCUGUUGCCAUGAAGGCCAGAACAGGGUGUUGGAAUCCCUGCAAUUGAGUCACAGACUAGUCUUUCGUUGUUGUUUUGUUUUUUGAGACAAGGUAUCACUGUAUAGUCCUGGCUGUCCUGGCCUCCAAUUCAGAGAUCCUCUGCCUCCCAGUGCACCGCCAUGGCCCUUUAUAAGAGCAGUCAGGAGCUCCUAACUGCUGAGCCAUCUCUCCAGGCUGACAUUACUUCUACUAAGAGUUUAUCUAUAGGGAUAUCUUGACAUCUACAUGAUAAGGUCCCACAUCAAUCUACAUGACCUAUACUGUGUUUUAUGCUCCCACAGGACAACACACACCUGGUCACAAGGGGAGUUUGGGACAAAGCUCUACAAGCCUGCAAAUCAGCAUUAACCACCUGUACUGCAGAAGUUUACAUGGGUGCCAUUCUGGAAAACUCACAUUAACUCACAAAAGCAAACAAGUGAGUGCAGACAGGAAUGGGACUAUCGUCCCACUACUGUUAUUUAUUCUCUCCUCUUCUCCUUGGUUGCUGUGCAUGCCCAAAUAAUGUAAUCAUUUUUUAAAGAGAGAGAAACUAUAGGGCAUGUACAAACUCAUGGCUACUGCACCCACCAUGCUGGACGAUGAACGAAUAACUGUGACCAGGAAGGAAAUUUUUUUAAAAAGUCCUAGAGAAAAAUGAAAAUACAACAUUCCAAAAUCCAUGGAAAAAUUAUGAAGGUGGUCUUAAGUGGGCAGUUUACAGCUAUUGGUGCCUCCAGUAAGAAGUUAAAGACAGCAAAUGAAUUUACUUAAUGAUACAACUUAGGGCCUUGGAAAAACAAAAACAAAUCAAAUCCCAAUCCCUCCAUGGGAAAAAAAUAGUGCCAUCAGGGAAGAAAUCAAUGAAAUAGAAACAAUAACAAAAUACUAGGAGUCAAUGAAACAAAAAUUUGGUUAAACAGCUAGAUGUAGUUGUUAAACCCUCAGCUAGACUAAAAGAAGAAAUAGGAAUUAAUUAUUAAGAAAGAAAGAAAGAAAGAAAGAAAGAAAGAAAGAAAGAAAGAAAGAAAGAAAGAGGAAGGAAGGAAGGAAGGAAGGAAGGAAGGAAGGAAGGAAGGAAGGAAGGAAGGAAGGAAGGAAGCAGACCGUUGGUAGUGGCCCACUCUGGAAGCAGAGGUAGGUAGGUGAUCCUCUGUGAGUUUAAGGCCAGCCUAAUCUACAAAGUGAGUUCCAGGACAGGUACGGUACACACAGAGAAAUUCUGUCUCAACAAAGCAAAAUAAAUUAGAAGAAAGGGGGGCCAUCACAACAGACACUGAUGAAGUGUAUAACAUCAUUAGGUCUUACCUUAAAAAGUAACAUCCCACUAAGUUGGAAAAGCUGAAAGAAAUGGCUGAAUUUAUAGAUGCAUAUGGCCUACAAAAAUAACAUGAAGAUGAGCAAUUAUUAUUACAUUAGUAAUUCAAAAUCUAAAAACAAAAAAGCCCAGGUUAUCAGACUUUCCAGUGUUCCUCCAGUGUUCCUAGGCUAUAAAAGGAAGAGACAUUACCAAACUCCUUUACGAUGCUCCUAUUCGCCUGAUACCGAACCAAGAUGAAACAAAACUCUACAUCAAUUUCCCUGAUGAACAUAGACACAAAGAUUAUCAACAAGCUACUUGCAAACAGAAUUCAAAAAUACAUUUAAAAAGAUCAUUCACAACCAUGAAGCUAGUUUUAGUCCAGAGAUAGAGACUGUUUAAUAUACUUAUCAAUAAUGUUAUGCCUUUCACGUUAAAGUCUCAAGUGCACUCAGAAUAAAAGGAACCUCAGUAUCGAAAAAGUGACACGACAAACCUGUAUUUUGUUAAUAUAAUCCAAAGGUGUCCAUUUUCUAUACUCUUAUUCAAUCAUACUAGAAGUCUUAAACUAAAGCCACAACCUAAGCAGACAAAUAAAAGAAAACCAGGAAAGAAGUCCAAACACCUCUAUUUGUAGAUGGUAUGAUUCUAUACACAAAAGAAUAUAAAGAAACUACCAAAAAAACUCUUAAAACUGUUGAACACAGGGCUGGAGAGAUGGCUCAGUGGUUAAGAGCACUGACUGCUCUUCCAGAGGUCCUGAGUUCAAUUCCCAGCAACCACAUGGCGGCUCACAACCAUCUGUAAAUGGAACCAGAUGCCCUCUUCUGCUGUGUCUGAAGACAGCUACAGUGGACUCAUAAAUAAAAUAAAUUCUCAAAUAUAAAAAU
ensembl:lincRNA Gm26767 predicted gene, 26767